rnacentral:tRNA from 1 species
GCGGGGGUAGCCAAGCGGACUACGGCGCAAGCCUGGAGAGCUUGUGAUCCAUUGGAUCGCGCGGGUUCGAAUCCCGCCCCCCGCGCCA